rnacentral:rRNA from 1 species
GAUGAACGCUGGCGGCGUGCCUAAUACAUGCGAGUCGAGCGAACAGACGAGGAGCUUGCUCCUCUGACGUUAGCGGCGGACGGGUGAGUAACACGUGGAUAACCUACCUAUAAGACUGGGAUAACUUCGGGAAACCGGAGCUAAUACCGGAUAAUAUAUUGAACCGCAGGGUUCAAUAGUGAAAGACGGUUUUGCUGUCACUUAUAGAUGGAUCCGCGCCGCAUUAGCUAGUUGGUAAGGUAACGGCUUACCAAGGCAACGAUGCGUAGCCGACCUGAUAGGGUGAUCGGCCACACUGCAACUGCGACACGGUCCAGACUCCUACGGGAGGCAGCAGUAGGGAAUCUUCCGCAAUGGGCGACAGCCUGACGGAGCAACGCCGCGUGAGUGAUGAAGGUCUUCGGAUCGUAGAACUCUGUUAUUAGGGAAGAACAAAUGUGUAAGUAACUAUGCACGUCUUGACGGUACCUGAUCAGAAAGCCACGGCUAACUACGUG